rnacentral:rRNA from 1 species
UACGGGGGGGGCAAGCGUUGUUCGGAAUUACUGGGCGUAAAGGGCUUGUAGGCGGCCAACUAAGUCAGACGUGAAAUCCCUCGGCUUAACCGGGGAACUGCAUCUGAUACUGGAUGGCUUGAGUUCGGGAGAGGGAUGCGGAAUUCCAGGUGUAGCGGUGAAAUGCGUAGAUAUCUGGAGGAACACCGGUGGCGAAGGCGGCAUCCUGGACCGGCACUGACGCUGAGGAGCGAAAGCCAGGGGAGCAAACGGG